rfam:Picea glauca, whole genome shotgun sequence.
UGAAGUGGGGAAAUGUUCCAUGUGAACAUCACUUGGACAUGGUCCGUUAGUCGAUCCUAAGAGAUGGUCAAUCCUUGUAUCAAGGGUGCACUCUACAUGAACAUCGAAAUAGAAUUGGGUUAAUAUUCCCGAACUGGAACAUGGUGGUGGAUGGAAAUAUUAGGAAAUCUGGAGAUGUCAUCAGGGGCCUAGGAAGAGUUAUCUUUUCUUUUUAAUGACUUUCCCACCCUGAAAUCGGUUCAACCUCAGACAGGGUCCAACAUCUGAAAGAGCACCACAUGUCUUGUGAUGUUUGGUUUCCCCAUGACAACCAUUGUAAAUAUGGUGAACUGAGUACCAUCCAUGCCCAAUCAUAGUCAUAUAUGCCUCCUUGGAUUUUUCAAUGUCCACUA